rnacentral:lncRNA from 1 species
AGACCUAUUGAUAGAUUCCUCAUCUAUCUAUCUAUAUCAUCUUUCUCUUGCUCCACAUUUCCCUUCCGACGUUUCUUGUAUUCUUUUUUUUUUUCUCUCCUUGCAGGCUGGGAAGCAGAGAAUAGCUGCUUUCGUCAGCCUUGCCCGUGCGUCCAGCUCGUCUUCCCAACCCAAAGUCGUACACCACAUCAAGUCAAGCGCAGUCCAAUAAAAGCAGUCAGCCCCUCCCUGAUGGCAAACUGGUCCAGAUGUGGCUGCUCUCUGCCAGGCCCCACAGCCUUCUCGUGUGUGCGUCACUGUGCUGAGUGGCCCCAGGUGUUACGCUCCACAUCAAAAAGGCCAUCUGCAGUAUAAAAAAAACGGCCAGCCAACACACCAUGCGCUCCCAUCUCAUCCACAAGUUUCCUCUGCCCAGCAUCCAGACACGGCGCUGCCCACCGUCUCAUCAAUUUUCCUCUUUGAUUUCAUCACCAAGUAAAACUAAAGUGGCAUUACAAAGUUUUAUUUUGUAACAGAACAAGUUUUACAACUGAAACUACCUGAAAAUCAGAAACUCCCGAGUUGUGACCAGAUAUUAAAAGUUUCUGACUGAAAAAAAAAUAAUUUAAAAAAAUCAUCUUGGUGCAAACAAAUACACAACCUUUUAUUUUACAGUCUCAAUAAUGCAAACUGCUUUAGAUCCCACAGAGCAUUAGGAUUUAAAGUGAGCAUGAAACACAAACCCUUCAAGCAGAUUAAAUUUCAAAUCAAGCAGGCCAUGUAAAUGAUGUGGUGACAGGGGGCCCAGUGCAAUUAGCAUGCCGGGCUAGUGUUAAAGCAAUUAGGCAAAACAGACGGCAAGAGCACCGGGGCUAAGCAUGGGAAGGGAGAAGGACGAAUAUUUCCAUAUUAUUCUUCAGGACAUGAAGAAAAUGUGUCUGUGUGUGUGCAUGGAUGUGCGUGCGCAUGUACAGUUUGUUUGAGGUCGUUUGGCACUCGACUUGUUUGUGGAUUCUCAGAGGGAAUCAGAGGUUAAUGGGAACUAGACUUUGUUUACUGACAGCCUAUCCAGCCAUUUUUGUGAGAGUAAAGGGAGGGGUUGGGACUAAAUAACAAAUGCUGUGUUCCUUGAAACAAAAAAGGAAGAAAAAACAAUAAAAGGGAAAUAGAAAACACUGACUCUUGUGUUGCUUUGGGGAAUCACAAAAACAUUUACUGGUAAACAACCCCAGAGCGGAAACUCUGGAAACCACUUUGGGGAAAAAGCAGACACAUUUGGGCAAAUCUCUCAGGUGGAGCCAUCAAAAGCACUGUCGGCUUGUACACAGAGACAUGGCAGAAAGGACCACCUGGAGACGAGGAGCGACA